GUCAGAGUUUGAUCCUGGCUCAGGAUGAACGCUAGCGGCAGGCCUAAUACAUGCAAGUCGAACGGUGAUAGCAAUAUCAUAGUGGCGCACGGGUGCGUAACACGUAUGCAACCUACCUAUUAUUGGGGGAUAGCCUUUGGAAACGGAGAUUAAUACCGCAUAAUACGAUUGACUGGCAUCGGUUGAUUGUUAAAGCUUCGGCGAUAAUAGAUGGGCAUGCGUCCAAUUAGUUAGUUGGUUAGGUAACGGCUGACCAAGACGAUGAUUGGUAGGGGAACUGAGAGGUCAAUCCCCCACACUGGGACUGAGACACGGCCCAGACUCCUACGGGAGGCAGCAGUGGGGAAUAUUGGGGCAAUGGACGCAAGUCUGACCCAGCCCAUGCCGCGUGCAGGAUGAA
rnacentral:rRNA from 1 species